rnacentral:rRNA from 1 species
AUUGAACGCUGGCGGAAUGCUUUACACAUGCAAGUCGAACGGCAGCACGGACUUCGGUCUGGUGGCGAGUGGCGCACGGGUGAGUAAUGUAUCGGAACGUGCCCAGUCGUGGGGGAUAACGUAGUGAAAAUUACGCUAAUACCGCAUACGAUCUAUGGAUGAAAGCGGGGGAUCGCAAGACCUCGCGCGAUUGGAGCGGCCGAUAUCAGAUUAGGUAGUUGGUGGGGUAAAGGCCCAGCAAGCAAACGAUCUGUAGCUGGUCGGAGAGGACGACCAGCCACACAGGAUCUGAGACACGGUCCCGACUCCUACGGGAGGCAGCAGUGGGGAAGUUUGGACAAUGGGCGAAAGCCUGAUCCAGACAUUCCGCGUGAAGGAUGAAGGCCAUCGGGUUGUAAACUGCUUUUGUACAGAACGAAAAGGUUUCUACUAAUACUAGGAGCUCAUGACGGUACUGUAAGAAUAAGCACCGGCUAACUACGUGCAGCCGCCGCCGUAA